UCCCUGGUGGCUCAGUGGUGAAGAAUCUGCCUGCCAAUGCAGGAGACACAGGUUCAAUUCCUGGUCCAGGAA
rfam:Ovis aries breed Texel chromosome 5, whole genome shotgun sequence.